rnacentral:rRNA from 1 species
GAUGAACGCUAGCUACAGGCUUAACACAUGCAAGUCGAGGGGCAGCAUGGUCUUAGCUUGCUAAGACUGAUGGCGACCGGCGCACGGGUGAGUAACACGUAUCCAACCUGCCGUCUACUCUUGGACAGCCUUCUGAAAGGAAGAUUAAUACAAGAUGGCAUCAUGAGUCCGCAUGUUCACAUGAUUAAAGGUAUUCCGGUAGACGAUGGGGAUGCGUUCCAUUAGAUAGUAGGCGGGGUAACGGCCCACCUAGUCUUCGAUGGAUAGGGGUUCUGAGAGGAAGGUCCCCCACAUUGGAACUGAGACACGGUCCAAACUCCUACGGGAGGCAGCAGUGAGGAAUAUUGGUCAAUGGGCGAGAGCCUGAACCAGCCAAGUAGCGUGAAGGAUGACUGCCCUAUGGGUUGUAAACUUCUUUUAUAAAGGAAUAAAGUCGGGUAUGGAUACCGUUUGCAUGUACUUUAUGAAUAAGGAUCGGCUAACUCCGUGCCAG